GUCUACGGCCAUGCCACCCUGAACAAGCCCAAUCCCAUCUGAUCUCGGAAGCUAAGCAGGGUUGAGCCUAGUUAGUACUUGGAUGGGAGACCACCUAGGAAGACCUGGUGCUGUAGGCA
rnacentral:rRNA from 1 species